rnacentral:rRNA from 1 species
GACGAACCGUGCGAACGUUGUUCGGAUUCACUGGGCUUAAAGGGCGCGUAGGCGGCUGGCCAAGUCAGGGGUGAAAUCUUUCGGCUCAACCGGAAAAGUGCCCCUGAUACUGGCGGGCUGGAGGAGGGUAGGGGCGGAUGGAACUUCCGGUGGAGCGGUGAAAUGCGUAGAUAUCGGAAGGAACGCCGGUGGCGAAAGCGAUCCGCUGGACCCUUUCUGACGCUGAGGCGCGAAAGCCAGGGGAGCAAACGGG